rnacentral:rRNA from 1 species
AGUGAACGCUGGCGGUAGGCCUAACACAUGCAAGUCGAACGGCAGCACAGUAAGAGCUUGCUCUUACGGGUGGCGAGUGGCGGACGGGUGAGGAAUACAUCGGAAUCUACUUUUUCGUAGGGGAUAACGUAGGGAAACUUACGCUAAUACCGCAUACGACCUACGGGUGAAGGCAGGGGAUCUUCGGACCUUGCGCGAUUGAAUGAGCCGAUGUCGGAUUAGCUAGUUGGCGGGGUAAAGGCCCACCAAGGCGACGAUCCGUAGCUGGUCUGAGAGGAUGAUCAGCCACACUGGAACUGAGACACGGUCCAGACUCCUACGGGAGGCAGCAGUGGGGAAUAUUGGACAAUGGGCGCAAGCCUGAUCCAGCCAUACCGCGUGGGUGAAGAAGGCCUUCGGGUUGUAAAGCCCUUUUGUUGGGAAAGAAAAGCAGCAGGUUAAUACCCCGCUGUUCUGACGGUACCCAAAGAAUAAGCACCGGCUAACUUCGUG